UACAGAGGUCUCGAGCGUUAGGCGGAAUCACUGGGCUUAAAGCGUGUGUAGGCGGAUCGUUAAGUGCCUUGUGAAAUCCCACGGCUCAACCGAGGAACUGCUUGGCAUACUGGCGGUCUUGAGCAACCUAGGGGCGAGCGGAACAAAUGGUGGAGCGGUGAAAUGCGUAGAUAUCAUUUGGAACGCCAAUGGUGAAAACAGCUCGCUGGGGGUUUGCUGACGCUGAGACACGAAAGCCAGGGGAGCAAACGGG
rnacentral:rRNA from 1 species